UGCGUAGGCGGUCUAUUAAGUUGGAUGUGAAAUCCCCGGGCUUAACUCGGGGGCUGCAUCCAAAACUGGUGGACUUGAGUACAGGAGAGGGAAGCGGAAUUCCUAGUGUAGCGGUGAAAUGCGUAGAUAUUAGGAGGAACACCAGUGGCGAAGGCGGCUUUCUGGACUGUAACUGACGCUGAGGCACGAAAGCGUGGGGAGCAAACA
rnacentral:rRNA from 1 species